UUUUUGCAGUCAUUUCAAGGCUCAGGAAUUACCCUAAUUAAGAUUGGGAAUGCCAUGAUUUCAAAGAAAGCAACAGGAACAAGCAGAGCUGAGGGAAAAGGUUUUGGCCCUUCCAGCUCCCAUUCACCUGCACAAAGGACCUCCAGCACUUCCAAAGUGAGCCUGCAGGGGAGAUGAAGCAGGCCCCUCCUUCCAGCAGAUGAGAGGAAGAAGCAGAGGUAUCAGUGCUUCAAGAUGUGACAUCCUCACUGCUCACCAAGAAAAUACAUACUGAACACAGUUUCUUAAAUUUGAGACAAUGCCACUUCAACAAGAUGUUUACUCAGAAACAAUCAAUAGGUGCCUUGACACUGGCUCACCAGCCAUGGAUACUCCUAGCAAAACCUGAUUCUGAAGAGACAAGCAUCUGGGCAGAAUAACUGGAAGUCAGACACCAGUCUUGCAGUGUGGCAUGGAACAUGGACUUGACCUAUGCCUCACUUCAGGCAAAGUUCGUGUCUUGCAGCUUCAAGGCUGUUCUCAUGGCUUUGCCAGAGAGAGAAUUUGACUUUUGAUAUGCACUUGCUGGAGAUGAAAGUACACCGCUGCGUAUUUUUUAUCUCAGGAUCAAAUGAUGAGCAAUCACAUCUGGAGCAGAAUGCAGAAUAUAUGAAUAGAAGCCCAAGUUCUGUCACAGAUGCACAACAGAUUUUUGCAUGAUAACUCCGGAUGUAGAUAUAUUCUGGCUAACUUUCAAGCUAACCACGUGGGAUACCUAUAGCUGGAGGUCCUUGGGUAGAAUUCCCAGCCCCCAGUCUUCUGUACUUUUAAAUCUGUCCUGCUCACGGUAUCAAGCCUUGUCAGCUCCAAAACCAGGCAGAAUGUGCCUGCACUGACCAACACAAUCAUCAAUGUCUGCCUUGCAGAACAACAGCUACUCAGGCUCUGAAUCAUUGUACUCUGUCAGGGCAUGGGGAAGGACUGGGAAGCCAGAAUCACAGCAUCUGCAAUUUCAUAUUCCUGCACUGGAGGUAAGCCCUGGGAGCGAGAGGCCUCAAAGUGCCAGAGGGCAACCAUGGCUCUGGGCAUCACCUAUGCAACUGAGGACUUGAAAUCCCUGACUUUAACCUGAAUACAGAUCCUUCCACCUUAAGCCCUUUCCUAAUGAAAUCAAUAUUCUGGUCAGCUCUACUGCUAAGAAAAACAGCUGUAGCAGGCAGGGGAACAUAUUUUGUUUUCCCAGGUCCCUGUGCUGAUGCUUCUCAAAUGAAAUUUUCUCUGACGCUCAGGCAUAAAAUCUUGAAAUUAAAAUGAAAUGCAAUUGCUAAUGAAUGGAAAAUAUUACUUGCUGGCCAGCUCUAUUUGUACGUACAAAAUAUCCUAGACACCUCCAAGUUUCUUUCAUGCCAUCUCAGAUUAUUUUCCUUUAUUGUUUUACCAAGAUCUCCAAAGCUGGCUGCAUAGGGGUUUUCACUGCCCAAAUUCCCACUCGUUAUUCUAUUUGACACUUGGAUCCCUUGAGCAGCAUUGAAAAAUUACUAAGCCUUAAUAUCCGUGCAAGAAUUCCAAACAAUAGCUACAAAGAAGGAACUGGUCCUGGCACUAAAAAACCAUGAAUAUGUAAGACAAAUCGUAUCUGGAGAGAUAACGGGCUACCAGAAUCGUCUUUCAAAAGAUAUACAGUGUAAGCUGCAUUCUCCUCAAUAGCUCAAGGGGCUUAUAGUCAAUAAAUUUAACAGGCUGCAACCUAAAAAAAAGGCAAAGCUAAAGUACAGCAUGCAAAUACAAGCUAGAGUGGACUCUUCUACCUUAGGACAGAGUUAAUAUAGGGGAAAUGACAAAAUACAUAAAAAGGAAUACACAGGAUUUGACAGAGUGUGGUUGUUUUUUCUUUUAACUUCAAGGCAAACUACCAGACUAUUUUAGUUUACAAAUAAAUCAAACAAAGAACUUUUAUCAGUUUGCAUAGAAGUCUCAUUUUCAGCACUGGAAAGGUUAAGCUUCAGAGCCUUUCUCUGUAUGUGUAUGUGACAGAUUACAAAGGAAGUAGUGUAAAUAAUGACCUUGCUGAAAACAGAUUAGCCUCAAUGAUUAUAUAGUAAUUAUAUAGUAAUGUUUUCUUCACUUACAGAUUAAAAUAUCAAUUGACAGUUUCCAUAAACAAGUGAAGCUCAUGGUAAUUCAGUGUAAUAGGAUAAUGACAGUAGCAGUAUCUGACAGCCCCAUUUCUGCCUCUUGACGUUAUUUAUGGUAUUCUGAUGCUCAGUCUAGGGAGCUGGAUCCUCAGCUUUGCCAGAUGUGUUUGCCGUGGCUCAGUGUUUAUGUGACAAAAACGUUUCCUUUAGGAAUUUCCUUUAUUUUACAGUUACGUGGUCACACUAAGUACAAAUGUGUUGGACCCAUCAUGUUCUUAUGGUUGUAUUCUUUUAAAGUCAACUUUUCAAGACCUGCCCCUACUACUCUCAGUAACUAAGUGCACAUGCUGCCUGAUUUCUCACUAGUUGACCCCUCGUACUGACCUUUACACUAAGUUUAAGAUGUUGGUCAAAACUUCAGCAGAUGGACUAUUCCCACCAAGGCUCUGUUCUUGUGUUUUUUUCUUUCCUCUUUCACUUUGCUGUUUCUAAAAGGCACUUGUGAGGAUGGAAACAGCGUACAUGGGAUGGGUACGGUGUUGGAUAUGGCAGGCCAGGUUUCUCCUCUGACUCAAUGAGGACUCUUAGGACAGAAAAAAUCCUGCUUAGAUAGAGGCAGAGCAGAAGGAGGCUCUUGUAGUUAAAGUUUGUAUCUUAAUACAGAAAGCAACAGGCAAAUAUUCCUUAUCUUUGUGAGCAGGUCAGUGCUUAUGAGCACAUUCUGGUUUGCUUGCCAUUUCCAAAGCUGGAAAUAAAUCAACCAGAAAUUGUAAGUAAGUUAUCUGUCGCUGUGCCCAUAAAAUUGUCAUCCCUCAAAGAAUUCUGCCUAACCUGGUGAUAUCAUUUCAAAGUCUGCACAUGCACUGGUAGCUGUACAUAGUGCAGGACAGGGAAGGAAGCAGCUCAGUUUGCUUACUGGCAGAGAGCAACCUCCAUUGUAAAGUAAGGGGAUGAAAAAGUGGAGUCAAUUUGGUUCACAAGAGAAAUGUAAGGAACAGCACAGCACAAACUCAUCAAAGGAGUCUUGGCUUGUGGUACCUGGGUUCUUCAUACAAAUCUAAGUGCAGUUUUGUCUAGCGUAUGUCCUGGCAGAGAAACCAGGGCUUUAAAGCAGCCUAUAAGAACUAUGUUGCUCUAGCAAAAUUGGUUAAUGUUUCAUUAUGUUCACUGGUGAAAGACUUAAAAGGCUGAAAUUUUGACUUCCUAAAUUGUCAAUCAUCUUUAAGAUGCAGUAAAUUAAGAUUUUUCUCCAACAAUAUCUUUUAUUAAAUGUAUUAAGCUGUCAGACAUAGAGCCUGGGUUUCUGCUUUACCUUCACGCCAAUGGAAAGGAAGAUAAGCAGACAGGACGCUGUGCUAUAUAUUUGAGAUUCUGGAUUAUUAUUUUUUCAUUCUAUCACAAAACUCAUUUUAGGCAGAUCCAUGAGAAGUGUUCACCAGAAAUGGUCAGCACAUCAUCAAAAAGGCCGUUAACCCUAACCAUGGAUAUCUGUACUCAUGGUAAACCAUUUCUUAACCUGUGUCAGUACAACAGUUUGUGAGUGCUGUGUAAUGGGGCCGUAGGCAAACACUGUGUAAAGCAGUCACAUCCAGCAACGAUAGCAGUCUGUCUUCAGAAGCACAGAGCACAGUUCAAGCUACAAAAUCCAUUCAGAAUGUCGAAAAAAUCAAGGAGAUUAACUUAUGCUGCACUCAGUGCUGUUCUAGUUGGUUUAAAACCUUACCCAUAUUUACACUGAAGGGUCAAAAUGGUAGAAACAAACAAAACAAAUGAGCCUCAGCACUUGUUGAACAUGCAAGUAAUUGGAAAAAAGAAAAAAAAAGGCUUAAAAAACAGGCUGCCAACCCUCGAUCAAUGAAGGUGUCUGAACAUUGCACAGGAUAUGACAAAGGAGCUCUCAGUCUAGAAGGGCAAUAGUUAAGAAGCCACCCAGGGAAAGCAACAGACUAAUCUCAGAGUCCAAUGAAAGCCGUAAUCUUCUAACAGACAAAAUCAACCCCUUCCAUGUUUUCUCUGUAGUUAAGCUGAGGAAACUAUCUCAUGGUAAAGAGUGAAAAAUACACAUCCAGUGUGAUAAAUUUGCAUCUACAUACAUCUAGCAAUUAACUUAUAAUUACCUU